rnacentral:rRNA from 1 species
ACGGUACCCUCAAAGGAAGCACCGGCUAACUACGUGCCAGCAGCCGCGGUAAUACGUAGGGUGCUAGCGUUGUUCGGAAUCAUUGGGCGUAAAGCGCAUGUAGGUGGCUGUGUAAGUCGAAUGUGAAAUCCCUGGGCUCAACCGAGGAAGUGCAUUCGAAACUGCAUAGCUCGAGGACGGUAGAGGAAGGUGGAAUUCCAAAAGUAGAGGUGAAAUUCGUAGAUAUUUGGAGGAAUACCGGCGGCGAAGGCGGCCUUCUGGGCCGUUCCUGACACUGAGACGCGAAAGCGUGGGUAGCAAACAGGAUUAGAUACCCUGGUAGUCCACGCUGUAAACGAUGAGUACUAGGUGUUGCGGGAAUUGACCCCUGCAGUGCCGUAGCUAACGCAUUAAGUACUCCGCCUGGGAAGUACGGCCGCAAGGUUAAAACUCAAAGGAAUUGACGGGGGCCCGCACAAGCGGUGGAGCAUGUGGUUUAAUUCGAUGCAACGCGAAGAACCUUACCUGGGUUAGAAGACGUCGGACAGUCCUAGAGAUAGGAUUUCCUCUUCGG